rnacentral:rRNA from 1 species
UACGUAGGGGGCAAGCGUUGUCCGGAAUCAUUGGGCGUAAAGAGCGUGUAGGCGGCCAGAUAAGUCCGCUGUGAAAUCUCGAGGCUCAACUUCGAGCUGUCGGUGGAAACUGUCUGGCUAGAGUCCGGAAGAGGAGAAUGGAAUUCCUGGUGUAGCGGUGAAAUGCGUAGAUAUCGUAAGGAAGACCAGUGGCGAAGGCGGGUCUCUGGACAGUUCCUGACGCUGAGGCACGAAGGCCAGGGGAGCAAACGGG